GUGAGAGUGUCCAAGUCCUAAGUCCUUGGUUACGUCUUCCAUUUGACCCGGGUAACUUCUUAGGGUAGGAAGGAUGGAUAGUUGUUGGUCAGUCCAAUUGUUUGAGUGAUAUUGCUAUAUGUGUUGGGUGGAAUUUACUUUCAAUUAGGGCACCGCCCCUUGAUGGUGAUUACUUUCGCCAACUCUUUUGUAAUAUAUUUUCUAAGUCCCUCGUGAUUACAACAAAGGAUGUGUGGUUAUAUCUCAAGUGUGUACCUCCUUAGAAUGUUGAUGUUUUUUGUUGUACUAACUGUAACCCUCAUGUUAUGAGGAUGUGGUGCCGAUUUGUCUUCUCUUUGUUCUUGCAAGGUUUGAAUUCGAUAUCGAAUCCUUUUCAAUAAGGGGAGAAUGAUACAAGUCAUAUGGCCACCCUAAUUUU
rnacentral:lncRNA from 1 species